AUGACCUAAAACCCUACGUUAAUUGGAACUUUACUAAUUGAUUGUACUCUACGUGAGCGGCGCGCGGCGUUCAUUAAUUCUCUUCUCGAUUGCACUUUACUGGGCGAUCGUUGUUCCGCGUUUCGCGGCGUAAUUGCGACCUCGAACGUGUCCGUGCACCUAUCAAGGGAAACGGGCGACCGGUUGCGUGCGUGUAAAUAGGGUCGACGUCGACGACGUCGUCGUCCAAUCCUUCUCCC